GCUUGGGAUAGCUCAGUUGGUAGAGCAUAAGAUUUCUAAUGUCAGGGUCGUGGGAACGAGCCCCACGCUGGACA